rnacentral:rRNA from 1 species
UACGUAGGGGGCAAGCGUUGUCCGGAAUCAUUGGGCGUAAAGAGCGUGUAGGCGGCCCGAUAAGUCCGCCGUGAAAGUCCAGGGCUCAACCCUGGAAUGCCGGUGGAAACUGUCGGGCUGGAGUCCGGAAGAGGCGAGUGGAAUUCCUGGUGUAGCGGUGAAAUGCGCAGAUAUCAGGAGGAACACCAUGGCGAAGGCAGCUCGCUGGGACGGUACUGACGCUGGAGGCGACGAAAGCGUGGGGAGCGAACAGG